GAAGAGGAAACAAUAGGAAUUUCUUUAUUUUCUCGCUGAAGGUGACCUUUGUAUCACCAACAUGAUUCAAACUGUUAAAUAUGUUUGAGUGUUACCAUCUCUUUUUCUUAAGAUCCUGUGUAAGCUGCUGUCACUGGACACAUCUGUAAAGGAGUCGACAGAGAGCUAGUGAGCCACAGUGUGAACACCCGUCUUCAUGGCUGAGAGAAGACUGAAACCAGAGAAGAUCGACAGCCUUCAAACAUCUGUUGGAAAGACUGCUUGCUUUCUAAAAGAUAUCCCACACACACUGACUUUAACUGCUAGUGCCUGUACAAACACAGCUCCAGACAUAAAUGCAAGGCCAGAUGGUGAGGACUAAAUAUGUUUAAAACACGUCAAAUGUGAAGCGAAACAAAGACGAGAACAAGACUGAACUCACCUCCUAGAGCCAGCAGUGCCAGCAACACAGCCAGCCCUGUUAACCUCAAGUAUAGCUGGUGGGAUGCCAUCUUGUACAUGCUCAGAGUCUCUACACAGUGGCUUAAAGACUGUUCAUAGACUGCCGCACAACCAGAGGGAAGAGUGGGCGGCCAGUGGAAACUGGCCUUUGGUGGAGGAAUGCUACGAAACCUCCCUGCCUGCUGACACAGGACCGCAGCUGGGAGUUUUUACGCUCUUAAAUGAAUUCUCAUGUGUGUCCAAGGCUCAGGCUCAGACUCUGGACUGUCAUAGCCCAGCUGGCUGCUGAUGGGGAAGUGAGCCCAGAAGGUACGAGCCAGGUCCUGCAUCUUGUUGUGAGCCGCCCGGGCUCGCAGCUCCUCCAACCACCCAAAGAAGUCUGACGACCACAGGCCCCAGUAGGGUAGGCUUCGUUUCUCCCUCUCCUUUCUCCUUCCUGCUGCAUUGCUCUCCUCUGCUCCUUUCACACAAGACAGACAGACAGGUGUGUGAACUUCAUUCUAAACCUUGUCACCUUGUUAUUUCAGAAUUACUGUUCAUCACAGUGUCGAGUCUGUUCAUGUGUUCAUGCCUGUGAGCUGCUGACGUACCGGUAGGUAGGAAGCUGAGCAGAAGAGAGCAGAACAGCACAGAAGCCCACACAGUGUGCAUAUUGUCAGGAUGUGAAGGUAAACAAAAGGCUUGACCUGAUGGGGGUUCAGCACUUUCUGCAAAACCAAUUGGAGUAUAGAAUGCCUUAGCAAUACCAGUAUGACAAGGACAACAUUUUCAGGAUGACAGCAUGGUCUUUAAGAACUGUUCAGGCUACAACAUAACAAGACAAACAUAAUAAAGGCUUCUCAGUGUUGAAAUCAUCUCGUCAAAGAUCACGCUCCAUCUCAUCUUACCUGACCAGCAGCAGAAUAGGCUUGUGGUCCUGUGCCUCUUCCUUUGCCCCCAGACUGAUCUGAGAAGGAUGAUUGCAUCUGGAUAAAAAAAAAAAAAAGAGGGGAAGGCGGACAUGUUUGUUUUUCACAUUUAGCCUCUUUGCGCCCGCCUUUCUCCAGAGAACAUCAGAGCCUCUUUUAUACCUCUCAGGCCCAUAUAAUGGCAUCACAUUUCUCAGCCAUGAGGUGUAAAGAAUAUCCUGAAUGCUUUACUUUUCUCCCUUUAAAUAUGAGCCAAUUUAGAAGAGGUCAAAUAAAAUACAAUGUCAUGUCUGUGUCCAGCUGCUGGCCCUCUUUUCACACUCCUGAUAAAGAACCACUCAUUAUUUCACUACACUAUAUAUUUGACAAUGUUGCUGUCACAAUGAUCAGGAGCUCACACCGAGACGUUUGGCCUUGAGCUGCAUGGAUGUUAUUUCAAGGUCAAAAGGAGCGAGACAAUCAGAGGGACAUGUGAAAAGCUGGAUGAAAGGGGUGAAAAGAGGCAUGUACCAGGCAGUUUUCACACCUGGUGUCCAGACGGUCAGCACCAACAGUCAGUCGCGGGUCACGGGGCAGGGGGGGGACCUUUUCAGGCUUGAUUUAAUGCUGACUUUAUUUUUAUUUAACCAGUAAAGCCUCAUCAAGCCUCGCUGAGGUUAUAAGCGUCGUUGUUCAGAGCCCUAGCUAAGGCAGUUUUCGAAUACAGAUAAAAAAUUUGAUCCCAGAAACAACCUCCAUAGCAUCUUAAAGCAGCCCAGGAGGUGUGUGAGAGCCAGUGUGAGACUUAGCAUAGAGGAGGUUAUGGAGCAGAGCCCAGUGUACAAUGAAUAAUGAUGUGUGUCAUCCUUUCUUAUGUUGAACUGCUUUAUAUGCUGUAGGUAUCUUAUUCUACAGCAGUGCAUCAUGUUCUGCUGUGUUUUUGUCUUUUCAUGACCUAAAAUACUCAAGUAAAAUUCAAGUACCUCAAAGUUUUACUUGUAUGUGUAUUUCACUGCUAAUUGCUAAAUAGUGUAGUUUACCUACUUGGGUGUCAUAAAUGAGUUUUAUUCUCUUUUUUAGGUGCAGUCAUGUUCAAAUCCUUUGUUCUGUUGGUUUGGUUGACAUUUGGUUAGUAAUAGUACAUUGUGGUGCAUUUUGUUUAAGGUGUCUGUUUACUUCUGCCAGGCAGUGACAGUGAACAGAGCUAUGAACUCAGGAUCACGUCAGUGGAGGCAACUACAGAAAAGGUGCUUUCCUGACACUUUCCAGUGAAGACUAUGGAUUGAGUUUAGGUUGAAUGGGUUUCUUAUUUAGUUUACAGUGAUUCCAAGAUGUUUGUGUUUGUUAAUGUUGAUUUCUGCUUUGUUUUGUUUUUUGCCUCAUAUUUCCCCCUUUAAGUGUUGCUUAGGCAGAGACUUGGUCUUUGAGCAUUGUUGUCUGAAAUGUUGUUUCCUGUGUAAAGGUGCUGUGAAACUGUCACACUGUGGGUGUGUACACCACCGACUAUGACUUUCUGCAAAUUACAACUGUGAAAUUUUCCUACCACUAAGAGAUAUUUACUGGUUUUAUGUCUUGAAGGGGUGUGACCUUCUGGGGAAACCGGAUGCUGCCUUGCACUGUGGAAGCAUGGAGUAAAACCACAGAUUCUUCAUUUAGAUUUUUUAAAUUUAGUUUGUUUCUUUUUCUGGCUAUAGGACAAGACUCGUCUUCAUUUCUCUGGAAAAAGGCAAAAGUGGUCACUCUUGUUGGUUCAUCAUUCAGACAGGUUGUACACUUUAGUUUGUUGUAAGUUUUGUUUUGGAAUGGAAAUUGAAUUUUGAAAAGGCUGAAUAGGCACAAUUUUCAGAAAUCUUAUUUUGUCUCACAUGGUUUCUUCAGUUUUCUGUCCUUAUUUGCUUCUACACUGAGCUCACUGGAAACUGUUCUGCUGAAACAGCAGGGAGCCAAGCAGGAAAAAUGAUCAAUAAAUCUAACAUCAGCACAUAACCCCACUGUCCCCCAAGAAACGAACUGAUGCUGUGCCUUUUAUGCCACUUGUAGGCUCCCCAUGAUGUGGAUGUUGAAGAUGUAAACAGCUGUCUUGUGAUGACGCUAGAAGCGCAAUGCUGCCCUCGUGUGGACAUGUAGAGUGCAGCUGUCAUGACUCCACUCCACAGACUCACCGAUGACUCACUGUCACGUAUGAGGAAGUCGCCCUCCUCUCCUCUCUU